UAAUCAGUAAUCACCGAGUUUCUGAAUACCACGUUUUUUUCUCCACUGCCUCUCCUCCCUUUUCCUCUGUCUGUUCUCCUUAAUUGUCUUUUUAAUUCCUAAGAUUUCUUCUUCGGUGAUCAUGUCUGCCAUUGUUGAUUUGGCUCUAAUUAUUGUCCAUUGUUUGCAGCUACGAUUUUCGUUGCUCUGGACAAACCAAAAAAAAACUAUGAUUUGACAGGAUUUGAAGUCCUAUUGGUGGUGGCUCUAUGUCGGGUGUUGAUUAUUUCCAAUGCCAAAAUAAUAGAACUGAUGCCAGCUCUUAACACCUCCCAACCUGUUCUGUAAGACGGAGAUGUUAUUUUGCUCAUCUGUCGGUGGGUUUCCUUUCUUGAUUCCACCUAUCUUUUUGUAACAUGAGAAAUGUCCAAAGCCUGGAAUGCUUUUACAUGAGUUCAGGACUCAAAACUAGCUAUAUCAAUCGGAUCCCUCUUUGCAGGGUAUAGCUCCGUUUACAAGGAAGUAAGGCACGCAGGUUGGUGGAGCUUUUGGUGAAAGAUAGGAGAAUGGGGAAGGGGAAAAUGAGGGUAUAGGAGGUUCAGAUGGUUUAUUAUUAUGUCUCUUUUGGGGUUAUGUGUACAUUUAGUCGCUUAGAGUCUUUUUUUUUUUUUUUUUGAACAACAGCUCAUCUGUUUUGUAUCAUGUGCUCCAGUUCAGGGGGAAAGUACCCAGAUUUGAAGAUAGCUUAGAUUUGUAUGUAAAGUGAAAUUUAACUUUCUUAUGGGAUGGUAAGUCUAAGGCUGUGCAACGCACGGCGCACA